AUCUGUAGGGAAAAGAUAUGUUUAACUGUUUUCACAGACUCAGGAGAGAACACUGUGAUAAGGCUCUACCAGAUUAGGGAGAUAUUGCCCGAUGGCUCAGGAAAGCAAACCAAGGCAGUUUCACACACACAACCUGAGAGUUUCUGGAAUAUUUCUCUUAGAGCAUCCCGUUGUCCCACUGAGGAUAUUUAUGUCCCUGUGCUAGUACUGAACACUGGAUUAUUAAUGUACAAAGGGGACUGCUUAAUGUGACCAGCCCUGUCUGGAUUUAUUUGUAGAAAAACAUACUGAUCUUGAGGAGGAAGAAGACCAAGUCCGCAUAUAUGUUCCAGAGCUGAGUUUGAUGCUUACCUUGGAAUGAAGAAUGCUCCCAAGCUGGAGGGUGAUUGUCUUGAGGGCUCAGCUGCCAGCAAGCAUAGAUGUCAAGUCAUUGGCCACAUUAAUUUCUUAAGUGACCUGAAACAGAGGAUUAUCAAAAGAAAAUUCCAGCUCAGCAAGUGGAGACUAGCAUGCAGAUUCCCUGGCCUUCAAGCUUAGGGUCCAGAGAAGCCAAGUACUUCUGGAAGUAAGAAAAGAUACUGCUGAUUUCAAAGAAACCGCCUCAUUAAAAAGUAGCUUUUCCACUUGAUGAAAGAAUCUAGAACUGUGAAGGGAUCCUUUGCAGAGAAUCGACAUCACAACCGCAAACAACUCUCCAUGAUUUUUACUCCAAAAGCCUGAUUCAAUGGGAGAAAUCCCAGCCUUUCAGCCUCCAAUUGUGAUAAAUCACGAAGAGAGCAAUGCCUAGAUCAACAUGCAGUUCUGAAAAAUCUUAACCCUUGCUCUUCUCAAUUCCCAUACUGUACAUCACCAAAAUCAGGAGCAACUGGAAAAAGACAACAUGAGAAACUGGACGUUCUUUGCCACCAGCAGGGCUGUGCUAGGAGCAGACAGCACUAACUGUGCAGAGGUCUUGUUGAGAAUGUUUAGUCUGAAUUUAAUCGUGAGGUCAUUAUCAGACAACGGCAGAAUUUAGACCUCUGAACAAGUCAACUGGCCUGUCUUUCUUCAAACAGUCAAUGUUACCACAAGUAAGACGACAAAAAGGAGAAGAGAUAUGUUGGGAUCCAAAGGACUGAAAAGAUUAUGUUACUAUGUUUCUUUAGUCCUUUUGAGCCGAAGACGUUCCUCACCUUUUUGUGAUUGCCUGCGGUGGUGGUGACAUUGCCUUGUUUGUAGAGGACAGGUCAGUCGUCUGGCUCAAUGGUCUACAUUCUCAAGUUGUCUGACCAUUUCCUCAUGAUUAAAUUCAGGCUCACACUUUUGCCGAGAACACUUCACAGUUAACCAGUUAACGCUGUGUGCUUCCUAGCGCAGCCCACCCGGAGACCAGAAUGACCAGUUUAUCCACCACCAUUACUGUGAGAACAUUGGUCACUUUGUUAUGGAGGGGCCUAGGAGAUCUGUCCAUUGUAAAGACACAUUUUUUUCUUUCUAUAAUCAGUAAUUUGGGGAAAGGUACUUUGAGAGUGUGUGAAUAUCCUCUUCUCUAAAGAUCUUUUUCUAAAACUUUUACCAUCCAUUCAUGAUCCCUGCUGUGUGUCGAUUGUCAUAUUGGUGUUUGCACAUUGGAGAUCUUCCAAUUUUAUCAUUCCUAUAUACAUGUAUUUGCUGGCCUUGUGCUGUGGAAAAGAACAUUCCCUCCCCCUUCCAUAUCAUUAAAAUUUUUGUUUUGACUAUCACUGUGGACUUUUGAAUUUUUUACAUUCAAUACUAUAAUCUACUAUAAUUAUGACUGAUUUGGGUGGGUAUGGAUAUAAAUUAAUAUAAAUAAUUUUGUUUCUCCUAUUCAUAUUUAUAUGCUAAAGGUUCCCAUAUCUUUUAGGCUCUAUUUACCCUAUGUAGUCGAUUUUAUUUGCUGUAUUUCUUUCCCCAUGUUAUUUGUUUUCUUUGUGUGUGCAUGUAUAUGUGUGUAUGUCUGUGUUUUGUUUAGCAUUUAGGAAGGAUUGUAUAGGUAGUGUUAAACAUUGCACUAAAUUUUUUUUUUUACAUUUUUAGUCCCUUAUUAACUUGUCAAAUUUCUAAUAUUUGCUUUAUAAGUUUUAAAUCAAUCUCUCAACUUCAAAAAUUUGACAUUUUUCUGUUUUUCUGGGAGGUUUGCACAGGAAGAUUCGCCCUAAGUUAACAUCUG